CCCGCUGAACUUAAGCAUAUCAAUAAGCGGAGGAAAAGAAACUAACAAGGAUUCCCCUAGUAACGGCGAGUGAAGCGGGAUGAGCUCAAAUUUAAAAUCUGGUAGCCUUUGGUUGCCCGAGUUGUAAUCUAGAGAAGCGUUUUCCGUGCUGGACUGUGUACAAGUUUCCUGGAUACGGAACAUCAUAGAGGGUGAGAAUCCCGUCCUUGACACAGACUCCCAGUGCUUUGUGAUGCGCUCUCAACGAGUCGAGUUGUUUGGGAUUGCAGCUCAAAAUGGGAGGUAAAUUCCUUCUAAAGCUAAAUAUUGGCGAGAGACCGAUAGCGAACAAGUACCGUGAGGGAAAGAUGAAAAGCACUUUGAAAAGAGAGUCAAACAGUACGUGAAAUUGCUGAAAGGGAAACGCUUGAAGUCAGUCGCGCCCCCUGGAAUUCAGCCCUGCUUUUGUAGGGUGUACUUUCCAGGGGGCGGGUCAACAUCAGUUUCGACCGGCAGAUAAAGGCCGGGGGAAUGUGGCUCCUUUCGGAGUGUUAUAGCCCCCAGUCACAUAUGCCGGUUGGGACUGAGGAUCGCAGCGCGCCCUUGUGGCAGGCCUUCGGGCACUUUCGCGCUUAGGAUGUUGGCAUAAUGGCUUUAAGCGACCCGUCUUGAAACACGG
rnacentral:rRNA from 1 species